rnacentral:rRNA from 1 species
AGAGUUUGAUCAUGGCUCAGGAUGAACGCUGGCGGCGUGCUUAACACAUGCAAGUCGAGCGAAGCACUUUGGAAAGAUUCUUCGGAUGAUUUCCUUUGUGACUGAGCGGCGGACGGGUGAGUAACGCGUGGGUAACCUGCCUCAUACAGGGGGAUAACAGUUAGAAAUGACUGCUAAUACCGCAUAAGACCACGGUACCGCAUGGUACAGUGGUAAAAACUCCGGUGGUAUGAGAUGGACCCGCGUCUGAUUAGCUGGUUGGUGGGGUAACGGCCUACCAAGGCGACGAUCAGUAGCCGGUCUGAGAGGAUGAACGGCCACAUUGGAACUGAGACACGGUCCAGACUCCUACGGGAGGCAGCAGUGGGGAAUCUUCCGCAAUGGGCGCAAGCCUGACGGAGCAACGCCGCGUGAGUGAAGAAGGGUUUCGACUCGUAAAGCUCUGUUGUCGGGGACGAACGUGGAGACGGCGAAUAGCCGUUUCCAAUGACGGUACCUGACGAGGAAGCCACGGCUAACUACGUGCCAGCAGCCGCGGUAAUACGUUGGUGGCGAGCGUUGUCCGGAAUUAUUGGGCGUAAAGGGAGCGCAGGCGGGAAGGUAAGUCUAUCUUAAAAGUGCGGGGCUCAACCCCGUGAGGGGAUGGAAACUAUCUUUCUUGAGUGCAGGAGAGGAAAGCGGAAUUCCUAGUGUAGCGGUGAAAUGCGUAGAUAUUAGGAGGAACACCAGUGGCGAAGGCGGCUUUCUGGACUGUAACUGACGCUGAGGCUCGAAAGCGUGGGGAGCGAACAGGAUUAGAUACCCUGGUAGUCCACGCCGUAAACGAUGAAUGCUAGGUGUAGGAGGUAUCGACCCCUUCUGUGCCGGAGUUAACGCAAUAAGCAUUCCGCCUGGGGAGUACGGCCGCAAGGCUGAAACUCAAAGGAAUUGACGGGGGCCCGCACAAGCGGUGGAGUAUGUGGUUUAAUUCGACGCAACGCGAAGAACCUUACCAGGGCUUGACAUUGAGUGAAAGGACAAGAGAUUGUCCCCUCUCUUCGGGGACACGAAAACAGGUGGUGCAUGGCUGUCGUCAGCUCGUGUCGUGAGAUGUUGGGUUAAGUCCCGCAACGAGCGCAACCCCUAUUCUUUGUUGCCAGCACGUUAUGGUGGGAACUCAAAGGAGACUGCCGCGGACAACGCGGAGGAAGGCGGGGAUGACGUCAAGUCAUCAUGCCCCUUAUGUCCUGGGCUACACACGUACUACAAUGGGAUGGACAGAGAGUAGCGAAGCCGCGAGGCCAAGCGAACCCCAUAAACCAUCUCCCAGUUCGGAUUGCAGGCUGCAACCCGCCUGCAUGAAGUUGGAAUCGCUAGUAAUCGCAGGUCAGCAUACUGCGGUGAAUACGUUCCCGGGCCUUGUACACACCGCCCGUCACACCACGGAAGUCAUUCACACCCGAAGCCGGCAGGCUAACCUUUAUGGAGGCAGCCGUCUAAGGUGGGGGCGAUGACUGGGGUGAAGUCGUAACAAGGUA